rnacentral:sRNA from 1 species
UUUUUGCAAUAAAUUAAUUAACAAAUAAAAAACAUUCCAAAUAUAUUUCAAUCUCAUAUAUCACGCAAAUUUCUCCAAAAUUUGAACUAGAUUUCGAUAACUAUUUAA